UACAGAGGGUGCGAGCGUUAAUCGGAAUUACUGGGCGUAAAGCGUGCGCAGGCGGUUUCUGAAGUCCGUUGUGAAAGCCCCGGGCUCAACCUGGGAAUGGCAGUGGAAACUAGGAGACUUGAAUCUGGCAGAGGGGGGUGGAAUGCCACGUGUAGCAGUGAAAUGCGUAGAGAUGUGGCGGAACACCGAUGGCGAAGGCAGCCCCUGGGUCAAGAUUGACGCUCAUGCACGAAAGCGUGGGGAGCAAACAGG
rnacentral:rRNA from 1 species